UGUGCCAGCAUCUUUUACAGGAAAUGGUC
rnacentral:piRNA from 1 species